GGUAGUAAAAGUCGUAACAAGGUUUCCGUAGGUGAACCUGCGGAAGGAUCAUUAUUGUAUAACCGAGGUGCGAGAGCUGUCGCUGACCCGAAAGGUCGUGCAGGCCCGAGUGCCCUCACACACAUCCAUCUCACCCCUAUGUGCACCACCGCGUGGGUCCCCCUUUGGCUUGUUCGGAGGGGGGCUUACGUUUUCACACAAACUUUGUAUGCAGUGUAGAAUGUAUUUUUUGUUUUUGCGAUCACGCAAUCAAUACAACUUUCAACAACGGAUCUCUUGGCUCUC
rnacentral:misc_RNA from 1 species